UUCAAAAUGGAAGUUUGUCUGUUUAAGUGACAUUUUGAAUUAGAAUUUCCUGUCGAAAAAUAGAUUUUAGGAUACAAAAUGGAUGUUGGACCUAACAAAUAGAUUCCCAGGCCGCCUGUUCGGAACACGAAACGCCUGUUCGCUAGUCACUGCGAGCGGAAGCAGAAGACGGAAGCAGAAGCUCGGCAGCGGACGGCGCGCGUUGCCAGCAGUCACUGCGAGCGGAAGCGCGGCGGCGGACGGCGCGCGUUGACUCCGGCCAUCUCGUCUGCAGUCCAGGCGACAAGCUCCCAGAGAUGACAUCUGUUUCGGGCAAUAACUUCUUAGACACGCCAACUUCUACUUGUGUAAAAGACAUCAAUUAUGAACACUGCAAAUGAUGAGGACAUGACACCCUCGGAUACGAAUAUUGAUGGUGAGUUCGUUCUUACAUUUGUAUAAUGAUUUCUUAUACAAUUCACUUAGUUCCACAUGUACAUGUCAUUAUUUGCUGCUAGGUACAAAUGUGUCAUUACAAUGUCGUCGCGGGCUUGUUAUCCACACAUGGGACCCAGGCCCAAGUUGGAGGAUGCCCCAAACAUGUGGAGAAGACUUCAAAGAUGGCAAAGAAUGUCCUUCCCCUUGGCCAUCACCUUAGGAGACCAGCAAGGGUGCCCCAGCCAAGGUGGAGGCCCAAACCGAUUCAACUUCGAGUCUGAUUCGGAGUCCAAGAGCAGUCAGUACUAAAACUGACGUACAGGUCGCAAACGGAGUCAGAUUUGGACGUUCUUUAUAUGGAUGGAAAGAUAAUUUCAAGACACUUCCAAUGCAACUGAUUUUAGGCCCAAAUUCUUCCGGAAUCGACGGGAAUCGUCCAAGGAAGUUGAUGUCUAGUUUCUGUCCCGACGAUGCGACGUUGUCUUUCGGUCUUUGGGCCUUGUAUCGUUUUGGAGCCCAUUAGGGGCGCAUCCAGAGGGUUUUGCACGACCCUAGAGGCUUUAUUAGUAGCUGCCACAUCCUUGUUAGGGUUUAGGUUUUGCUUAGAUUAUUCUGUCAAGAACAGUUUCGUCGCCGUGUCGGUUUGUGA